rnacentral:rRNA from 1 species
CCAAUAGCGUAUAUUAAAGUUGUUGCAGUUAAAAAGCUCGUAGUUGAAUUUCGGAAUCAAUAUGUUGGUCGUGCCUUGGUACGUACUGGCAUUAUUGGUUUCUACCUUCUGAAGAACCUCGAUGUCAUUAAUUUGGUGUCUUGGGGAAUCAGGACUGUUACUUUGAAAAAAUUAGAGUGUUUAAAGCAAGCUCACGCUUGAAUACAUUAGCAUGGAAUAA